rnacentral:misc_RNA from 1 species
AAGGAUCAUUAACACGAACUUAAAUCCAAUAUCAAAACCAAACGUGAACCAAAAUAUCCUUUAUUAUUCUCUCGUUAAACAGUGAGUAAUAAAGUACUUUUAUAUUAACCAUUUAACCCCUUUUUAUACAUAGUUGCUUUUUUAACAAAGCAAAACUUUUAAGUUAAUAUAUGUAAAAACUUUCGAGUUUUUCACUAUAUAUUUUCACAGAAACUAAAUAUUAUUAGUAAGAACAACUCUUAACAAUGGAUAUCUAGGUUCUC